rnacentral:tRNA from 1 species
AGCUCAGUUGGUAGAGCAACGGACUCUUAAUCCGUGGGUCCAGGGUUCGAGCCCCUG